rnacentral:rRNA from 1 species
CAAAAACAUCGCCUCUUGAUAUUAUAUUACGAGAGGUUGGGCCUGCCCGGUGAAUAACUAUUUAAACGGCCGCAGUGAAUAACUGUGCUAAGGUAGCGUAAUAAAUUGUCUCUUAAUUGGAGAAGGGUAUGAAUGGUUUGACGUGGUGGUAUCUGUCUCAGUAAUAAUAAGGUGAAGUUUUCUUUUUAGUUAAAAGACUUGAAUGGCGUUAAAAGACGAGAAGACCCUGUCGAGCUUGAUAAAAAUAUAGAGUGUUUUUGUAUAAUAAGUUUAGCUGGGGCAGCUGAAAACCAUAAAAUAGUUUUCUUUUUUUUGAAGAUCCGGUUUAUACUGAUCAUAAGAAAAAGCUACCGCAGGGAUAACAGCGUUAUCUUUCCUGAGAGAACUAAUUGAAGGGAAGGUUUGCGACCUCGAUGUUGGAUUAAAAUUUCUUUUUGGUGUAGCAGCUAAAAUAGUAGGACUGUUCGUCCUUUAAAAUUUUACGUGAUCU